AAAAGCUGUUGAGAAACAAGGGUUUUUACUUUGACAGAAUUGUUACAUUUGCUCUAUUGCUUUGUAUGAACUGCUUGUGUACGUUUGAAGACCAACGAAAGAAGGCUACCUCUACCGUGCAUCCGCUCGAAUUAAGUGGUUCUACAUCUAGUAGUGUCUCUGGCAUCUAGUGUCGGCAUCAUGCAUCCACUCGAAUAGUGGUUGAGUGAACAAUAUGAAUUUCCCAAUUGUUAAGGGAAACUUUGCCAGCGUUCUCAUUCAUAGAAGACAACUCCUCUGCAAACAAAUCGACCCCACCAAAUCAAUGCAACUUACCGGUAGUCUCAUUCUCUUCCUCCUUUUUCUCUUGCUAACAAGUCUGAUUCAUUGAUUUAACAGGGCGACCAAGCACUAUCGUCUUUUUCUAAGUUUGAAGAGUGCUUUGCACAAGAUCAAGCCAAAGGAAAAAAAAGUGUUUCAACAGGGCAACCACAUGGAGGAUUUGCAUGACAUUCAAAAUAGCUGAAUUUGGGUAUCUUAUCAUGUGAAAAAAAUCCUCCCCUAAUUUUCGCCGAAUCAUGUUCUAUUCUCAUUCUUAAUGGUUCAUAUGUGGUGUAGAGAAAGUUGAAAAACUUUAAAAGGUAGCUCAUCCUUCAGCCUUCACCUUCGACAUCAUUUAUGGAAGCAUGAAGCCCAAGUAUCUCAAAGUAACUCAGACUAGUUACAAAGCUUUAUUCAUGCCGUACACAUGAUAAGGAGCAUAAAUUCAUCAAGUUGAUGGCUAGAUUAAGAUGAGGUCUCCUAAAGCAUAUGUUUUCAAGAUUAUGGGAGGCUGUAGCAAGCAAUGUUUUUCCACGAAGUAGAGGUCUCCUCGCUUUGUUCACACUAGAAUGGAGAAUUGCCAUUGGAGGUGUUCAGAUUAGAUCUUCUUUGCAUCUCAUGCCAUGGAAGAUUAUAGGCGAAGAACUAGCAAAAUUUGACCCUGAAAUAGAGAGAACCCUUCGCAUACUGCAAAGAGCCAACAAAAGUAAAGAGAGAGAGGGUUGGAGGCGAACUAGCAGAAGAAGUUAAGGAAGAGAUGGCAGACGAAGCAAAUCAAACUCUUUUGGACUAUGCUUGUCUAACAAUUGAUGGGGCUACUUCUAGCAUUUGCAAACCAACAAUCCAAGCCAAUAAUUUUGAGAUCAAGCUUGCAAUCAUUCAAAUGAUCUAAACGAGUAUUCAGUUUAGUGGGUUGCCGAGUGAUGAUCCUAAUGCACAUCUUGUUAACUUCCUGGAAAUAUGUGACACAUUCAAGCAUAAUGGAGUUAGCGAUGAUGCUAUUAGGCUUAAACUUUUUCCAUUCUCAUUACGUGAUAGAGCUAAGGAUUGGCUUAACUCAGUUCCUGCAAGAAGUAUCACUACUUGGAACGACUUGACUCAAAAAAUUUUGACCAAGUAUUUUCCUCCCUUAAAACAACAAAAUUGAUCAAUGAUAUCAUUACUUUUGUUCAACUAGAGAGGGAAUCUUUUUAUGAGGCAUAGGAACGAUUUAAAGAGAUGCUUAGGAAGUGUCCUCACCAUGGAAUACCAGUUUGGCGUCAAAUACAAACUUUUUAUAAUGGUAUUACUCCAUCUAAUCGCUCCAUUAUUGAUGCAGCUGUAGGAGGCACGAUCAUGAGGAAAACUCUAGAGGAAGCCUAUGAUCUAGUGGAAGAGAUGGUAUCGAAUAGCUACCAAUGGAAUAAUGACUGAGUUGAUCGAAGGGGAGUGCAUCAUCUAGAUUCUUUUUAAGCUUUAUCUGCUCAGCUUUCUAGUUUGAAUAAAAAAUUAGACAAUCUUAGUGUUGCUGCAAUAAAUAUGCCAUCUUGUAAUCCAUGUGAUCUUUGUGGCCAAUUAGGACAUAUAAAUUCUAAUUGUCAGGUAGGAAGUUCUUUUGCUUCACAUGAAUGUGCUAAUUUUGUUUCUCAUGGUGGCAGGACAAAUUUCAACCCUUAUGCGAAUACCUACAACCCAGGGUGGAGGAGUCAUCCGAAUUUUUCGUGGAAUAACAACCAACAAAAAGCACCCAUGGGAUUUCAACAACAGCCGCCCCCACAAGAGAAGGGAAAUUUAGAGGACAUGAUUUCUAAGUUCAUUAAUACUGCUGAAGCAAAGUUCCAAGAUCACGAAAAGAGAUUCUUAAAUCAAGAGGCAUCUAUUAAGAACAUAGAAAUUCAAGUGGGGCAGAUUGUGAGCAUGUUGUCAGAAAGAAGAGAGGGAUGAUUGCCUAUCAAUACAGAGAAGAACCCAAGGGAGCAAGUGAAUGCCAUUGCCUUAAGAAGUGGAAAGACUAUUGGUGAGAUCAAGGAUGAUGAUCAAAAAGUUGAGGUAGCCGAUUCUCAAAUGGAGAUCAAAGGGAGUACACGUAAACUCAAUUUAGAUGCUAUUAAACUUCCUCUCCCCUACCCUAAAAGAGUUUUGAAAGCUAACUUGGAUAAAYAAUUUGAAAAAUUUUUAGAGGUGUUUAGAAAAAUACAUAUUAACAUUCUUCUUCUUGAUGUAUUGUCGUAGAUGCCAAAAUAUGUUAAAUUCUUGAAAGAGGUGAUGUCAA